rnacentral:rRNA from 1 species
ACUCAAAUGAAUAGACGGGGGUCCGCACAAGCGGUGGAACAUGUGGUUUAAUUCGACACUACGCGAGGAACCUUACCUGGGUUUGACAUGUAUAUGACAAUCUUAGAGAUAAGAUCUUUUAGGUUUCGGCUUAGACAUAUACACAGGUGCUGCAUGGCUGUCGUCAGCUCGUGUCGUGAGAUGUUGGGUUAAGUCCUUUAACGAGCGCAACCCUUGCCGUUAGUUGCCACUGCCUUUUUAGGUAAAGCACUCUGACGGGACUGCCUGGGAAACCAGGAGGAAGGUGGGGACGACGUCAAGUCAUCAUGGUCCUUAUAUCCAGGGCUACACACGUGUUACAAUGGCUAAUACAAAGGGAUGCCACACUGCAAAGUGGAGCAAAUCUCUAAAAUUAGUCUAAGUUCAGAUUGAGGUCUGCAACUCGACCUCAUGAAGUUGAAAUCGCUAGUAAUCGCAUAUCAGAACGAUGCGGUGAAUACGUUCUCGGGCCUUGUACACACCGCCCGU